rnacentral:misc_RNA from 2 species
GGGAGUCUUGUGAUGAAACACUCAUGGUCUGAAGACUCCC